AGACCUCUGAUCAGAAAAGACUACCCGCUGAGUUUAAGCAUAUCACUAAGCGGAGGAGAAGAAACUAACCAGGAUUUCCCUAGUAACGGCGAGCGAACCGGAAAGAGCCCAGCUUGAAAAUCGCG
rnacentral:rRNA from 1 species